GACGAACGCUGGCGGCGUGCUUAACACAUGCAAGUCGAGCGGAAAGGCCCUGCUUUUGUGGGGUGCUCGAGUGGCGAACGGGUGAGUAACACGUGAGUAACCUGCCCUUGACUUUGGGAUAACUUCAGGAAACUGGGGCUAAUACCGGAUAGGAGCUCCUGCUGCAUGGUGGGGGUUGGAAAGUUUCGGCGGUUGGGGAUGGACUCGCGGCUUAUCAGCUUGUUGGUGGGGUAGUGGCUUACCAAGGCUUUGACGGGUAGCCGGCCUGAGAGGGUGACCGGCCACAUUGGGACUGAGAUACGGCCCAGACUCCUACGGGAGGCAGCAGUGGGGAAUAUUGCACAAUGGGCGGAAGCCUGAUGCAGCAACGCCGCGUGCGGGAUGACGGCCUUCGGGUUGUAAACCGCUUUCGCCUGUGACGAAGCGUGAGUGACGGUAAUGGGGAAAGAAGCACCGGCUAACUACG
rnacentral:rRNA from 1 species